AAUAUUGCACAAUGGGCGCAAGCCUGAUGCAGCGACGCCGCGUGGAGGAUGAAGGCUUUCGGGUCGUAAACUCCUGUCUGGGGGGAUGAAUACUGACAGUACCCCCGGAGGAAGCCCCGGCUAACUACGUGCCAGCAGCCGCGGUAAUACGUAGGGGGCGAGCGUUGUCCGGAAUUACUGGGCGUAAAGCGCGCGCAGGUGGCUUGUUAAGUCAGGUGUCAAAAUGCGGGGCUCAACCCCGUACCGCACUUGAAACUGGCAGGCUUGAGUGCAGGAGAGGGAAGUGGAAUUCCUAGUGUAGAGGUGAAAUUCGUAGAUAUUGGGGAGAACACCAGUAGCGAAGGCGGCUACCUGGUCCGACACUGACGCUGAGGCGCGAAAGCGUGGGGAGCAAAC
rnacentral:rRNA from 1 species